rnacentral:lncRNA from 1 species
UAACAAUUCCUGCAGCUAUACUCGAGCAAGGAUCUCAACAUGCUGAGCUCGAGAGGUCAUGUCUUCUGAUACCUCUCCUUGUUCUGAGUAGUAAAAGCCCAACAAGUUUGCUGGCACGACCUUGUUCUCAAACCUUAUGAGAGGAUGCAUACCAGAGAUGAGCAGGAAGACCCCUUGCACAAAAAAACCAACUUGUUUUCUUUUUUUUUUUAUUGUAAAGAAAAACCAAUGUGUACUCAUGUUAUAUUUGCCAGAAUCCCUAGUCUUCAUAUUAUCUCAUCAAUGAAAUAGAAUAG